GCCAUACAUGCUCAAAAGCAACACAGUCUUAGAAAACCAAUCUGGCAAAAUUUAAGAGUAAAACCUACAGUGGGCAAGCCCUAUAUUUGACACUGUAACAUUAAAGGACCACUAUAGGCAAUGAAGUGGCCUGGGUGCCAGGUCCAGCUACGAUUAACCCUUUCUUCUAUAAACAUAGCAGUUUCAGAGAAACUGCUAUGUUUACCUAUGGGUUAAUCCAGUC